rnacentral:rRNA from 1 species
GAUGAACGCUGGCGGCGUGCCUAAUACAUGCAAGUCGAGCGAACAGAUGAGGAGCUUGCUCCUCUGACGUUAGCGGCGGACGGGUGAGUAACACGUGGAUAACCUACCUAUAAGACUGGGAUAACUUCGGGAAACCGGAGCUAAUACCGGAUAAUAUAUUGAACCGCAUGGUUCAAUAGUGAAAGACGGUUUUGCUGUCACUUAUAGAUAGAUCCGCGCCGCAUUAGCUAGUUGGUAAGGUAACGGCUUACCAAGGCAACGAUGCGUAGCCGACCUGAGAGGGUGAUCGGCCACACGGGAACUGAGACACGGUCCAGACUCCUACGGGAGGCGGCAGUAGGGAAUCUUCCGCAAUGGGCGAAAGCCUGACGGAGCAACGCCGCGUGAGUGAUGAAGGUCUUCGGAUCGUAAAACUCUGUUAUUAGGGAAGAACAAAUGUGUAAGUAACUAUGCACGUCUUGACGGUACCUAAUCAGAAAGCCACGGCUAACUACGUG